rnacentral:rRNA from 1 species
GCUCGGCCCUAAAUUCAGAUACUUACCCCACCAAAGUAUCCGCCAGAGAACUACGAGCACAAACGCUUAAAACUCUAAGGACUUGGCGGUGCCCCAAAUCCACCUAGAGGAGCCUGUUCUGUAAUCGAUAACCCACGAUAUACCCGACCCCUUCUUGCCAGGAGCAGCCUACAUACCGCCGUCCCCAGCCCACCUCCCCUGAGAGCCCAAACAGUGAGCACAACAGCAUCCCACUAACAAGACAGGUCAAGGUAUAGCCCAUGAAGGGGAAGAAAUGGGCUACAUUUUCUAAAAUAGAAAACUCACGAAAAGAAGCCUGAAAAACUUCCAGAAGGAGGAUUUAGCAGUAAAGAAGGACAAGAACACCCUCUUAAAUCUGGCCCUGGAGCACGUACAUACCGCCCGUCACCCUCCUCACAACCAACAACACCAGUAACUAAUACAAACACCAGGUAAAAGAUGAGGUAAGUCGUAAACAAGGUAAGUGUACCGGAAGGUGUACUUAGCAUCAAGACGUAGCUAUAACACA